rnacentral:rRNA from 1 species
CCCUUAGAUGUUCUGGGCCGCACGCGCGCUACACUGACGAAUGCAACGAGCUUAUAACCUUGGCCGAAAGGUCUGGGUAAUCUCCAAAUCUCGUCGUGAUGGGGAUAGAUUAUUGCAAUUAUUAAUCUUCAACGAGGAAUGCCUAGUAAGCGCAAGUCAUCAGCUUGCGUUGAUUACGUCCCUGCCCUUUGUACACACCGCCCGUCGCUCCUACCGAUUGAAUGGUCCGGUGAAGCGUUCGGACCGUGGCCUUUGGACGGUUCGCCGUCUGUUGGCUGCGGGAAGUUCGUUAAACCUUAUCAUUUAGAGGAAGGAGAANUCGUAACA